rnacentral:rRNA from 1 species
GAUGAACGCUAGCGGCAGGCUUAACACAUGCAAGUCGAGGGGCAGCGAGAUUGUUAGCAAUAACGAUUGUCGGCGACCGGCGCAAGGGUGCGUAACGCGUGAGCAACUUGCCCGUUUCUGGGGAAUAACCGUUGGAAACGACGACUAAUACCCCAUAGUAUCCGAUUGAGGCAUCUCUUUGGGAUUAAAGAAAUUCGGAAACGGAUAGGCUCGCGUGACAUUAGCUAGACGGCGGGGUAACGGCCCACCGUGGCAACGAUGUCUAGGGGUUCUGAGAGGAAGGUCCCCCACACUGGAACUGAGACACGGUCCAGACUCCUACGGGAGGCAGCAGUGAGGAAUAUUGGUCAAUGGCCGGGAGGCUGAACCAGCCAUGCCGCGUGAAGGUCACGGCCCUAUGGGUCUUAAACUUCUUUUGUAAGGGAGCAAUAAGGUUCACGUGUGGACUGAUGAGAGUACCUUACGAAUAAGCAUCGGCUAACUCCGUG